AAGUCUGAUGUGAAAGCCUUCGGCUUAACCCCGGAACUGCUUUGGAAACUGUGCAGCUAGAGUGCAGGAGAGGUAAGUGGAAUUCCUAGUGUAGCGGUGAAAUGCGUAGAUAUUAGGAGGAACACCAGUGGCGAAGGCGGCUUACUGGACUGUAACUGACGUUGAGGCUCGAAAGCGUGGGGAGCAAACAG
rnacentral:rRNA from 1 species